AACGAACGCUGGCGGCAGGCUUAACACAUGCAAGUCGAGCGCCCCGCAAGGGGAGCGGCAGACGGGUGAGUAACGCGUGGGAAUCUACCCAUCUCUACGGAAUAACGCAUGGAAACGUGUGCUAAUACCGUAUACGUCCUUCGGGAGAAAGAUUUAUCGGAGAUGGAUGAGCCCGCGUUGGAUCAGCUAGUUGGUGGGGUAAAGGCCUACCAAGGCGACGAUCCAUAGCUGGUCUGAGAGGAUGAUCAGCCACACUGGGACUGAGACACGGCCCAGACUCCUACGGGAUGCAGCAGUGGGGAAUAUUGGACAAUGGGCGCAAGCCUGAUCCAGCCAUGCCGCGUGAGUGAUGAAGGCCCUAGGGUUGUAAAGCUCUUUCACCGGUGAAGAUAAUGACGGUAACCGGAGAAGAAGCCCCGGCUAACUUCGUGCCAGCCGCCGCGGUAAAAC
rnacentral:rRNA from 1 species